GAGGCGGUAUCGGCUUGGCCGAACAGCACUCUUGGGGCAGUAUUUUUAUUUCCGCUGGCUGCAGCGGGAUGUAUGAAUGAAUAUAACCGUCAUAUUUGGUAUUGCCGGUUACGCCUGGAUUCUGCUCUGAGCCGAAAGGACCGAGACAGAAGG
rfam:Paenibacillus yonginensis strain DCY84 chromosome, complete genome.